AAUGUGGUUAAUGAUGCUGAACUUUUUUCCCCAUCUUAUCGACCGUGGUGAAUACUGACUGAAACUAAGCCAGUUUUGUCUGAAACCACAUU